ACGAACGCUGGCGGCGUGCUUAACACAUGCAAGUCGAACGGAAAGGCCCUGCUUUUGUGGGGUGCUCGAGUGGCGAACGGGUGAGUAACACGUGAGUAACCUGCCCUUGACUUUGGGAUAACUUCAGGAAACUGGGGCUAAUACCGGAUAGGAGCUCCUGCUGCAUGGUGGGGGUUGGAAAGUUUCGGCGGUUGGGGAUGGACUCGCGGCUUAUCAGCUUGUUGGUGGGGUAGUGGCUUACCAAGGCUUUGACGGGUAGCCGGCCUGAGAGGGUGACCGGCCACAGUGGGACUGAGAUACGGCACAGACUCCUACGGGAGGCAGCAGUGGGGAAUAUUGCACAAGGGGCGGAAGCCUGAUGCAGCAACGCCGCGUGCGGGAUGACGGCCUUCGGGUUGUAAACCGCUUUCGCCUGUGACGAAGCGUGAGUGACGGUAAUGGGUAAAGAAGCACCGGCUAACUACG
rnacentral:rRNA from 1 species